GACGAACGCUGGCGGCGUGCUUAACACAUGCAAGUCGAACGGAGUGGCGAACGUGCGCGUAACACGUGGGUGCUCUGCCUUGCACUUCGCGAUAAGCUUGGGCAACUGGGUCUAAUACCUGAUAGUGCAAGCUGACCUCGCGGCCUAUCAGCUUGUGGGUGGGGUAAUGGCCUACAAAGGCGUCGACGGGUAGCCGGCCUGAGAGGGUGUACGGCAACAUUGGGACUGAGAUACGGCCCAGACGCCUAAGGGAGGCAGCAGUGGGGAAUAUUGCACAAUGGGCGGAAGCCUGAUGCAGCGACGCCGCGGGGGGGAUGAAGGGCUUCGGGUUGUAAACAGCUUUCGACAGGGACGCGGUAGCUGGAUAGGAAGCACCGGCUAACUACGUGCCAGCAGCCGCGGUAAUUC
rnacentral:rRNA from 1 species